UCAUUUGUGGCCGAUGGUUAAGGCGUCUGACUCGAAAUCAGAUGGGCUAUUCCCGCGCAGUUCGAAUCCCUGCCAACUGCG